GCCGCCGCCGCCGCCCCGCCCCGCCCGGCCCGCGCAGGCCGCAGCCGCCAUGGCCGCGCUGCAUGCUAAGGCCGGUGGCCCCCCGCAGAUCCCCGACACCCGCCGGGAGCUGGCCGAGCUGGUGAAGCGCAAGCAGGAGCUGGCGGAGACGCUCGCCAACCUGGAGCGGCAGAUCUACGCCUUCGAGGGCAGCUAUCUGGAGGACACGCAGAUGUACGGCAACAUCAUCCGCGGCUGGGACCGGUACCUCACCAACCAGAAGAACUCCAACAGCAAAAACGACCGCAGGAACCGCAAGUUCAAGGAGGCCGAGCGGCUCUUCAGCAAGUCCUCGGUCACCUCGGCAGCGGCUGUCAGUGCAUUAGCUGGAGUUCAGGACCAGCUUGUUGAGAAGCGGGAGCCGGGCAGUGGCACGGAAAGUGACACUUCUCCAGACUUCCACAAUCAGGAGAAUGAGCCUAGCCAGGAGGAUGCUGAAGAGCUGGACGGGUCUGUGCAGGGGGUGAAACCCCAGAAAGCUGCUUCCUCUACUUCUUCUGGGAGCCACCACAGCAGCCACAAAAAACGGAAGAACAAAAACCGGCACAGGUAUGUAUAUUAGGGUAGGCUGGGAAGGUUUUUUUAGAGACAGAAAAGCGUUGAUGGAGGAUUGAUCUCAAGUUAAACAAAAAGCCAAGAGCCGACUACUAGACCCAUCAGUGGUGAUGCUUCUGGGAUGUAGGUCUCCAUGAAUCCCCACUGAGAAAAGUCCCAGUCGAGUGAAUGAGCAGGAUGGCAGCUCUGGCCCAGUGGCUGCAGAUGGAGGGGCUCACUAAAGAACUUAGCUGGGGGGUGGGGGGAUGGGAAAUUUUGGACCAUGUACUUUGCCUCAUUUUGAAAUCACCUGAGUUGCAAGAGGACUAAGGUGUAGUAGUAGUAGUAGUAGUCCUGAAUUCCUGACAACUCUGUGCUUCCUCAGUUGGGAACUUCCUAAAAUUGGCUGAUUAUGCUGCUGCCACCCCUGUCAUCUGCAAGCCCCUGGAGAGCUAUUCCUUUUUCCACUGGAACUGGGGUAUGAGUCAGUAUGUCCCAUCCAUGUUGUCAGACCUAGAUGACUUCUGUUGCUGAUACUUAGCUGUGUAGGUUUGUUUUGGUUUUGUUGUCGUUGUUGUUGUUUGUUUUUUUUUUAACUGAAGUGUAUAGGUAACAAAUUGACUUUGGGUUUCUUUGUUUUAAUCUGUGUAGAGUGGAAGGAUCUUCGUUUUGUGGAGCAGCUCAUUUUGAUUCUUAGUUGAGCAGAGGAGAAGUUGGCUUUGCCCUGUUCUCUGACUUUUCAUUUUGAACACCAUCCCCUAGAAUGCACACAACUGCUUUUAGAUGCAGGGAAGGCUGGAGCUCUAAGCCAUCUUGCUCUUUGCUGUCUGCAAGGUUGGGUGGAUUGUCUUUUUAAUGCAAACUUCUGUCAUUUGUACAUAAACAAUAAAGCUCCACGUUUGUCUC